ACCGACCCGUCAAUUUGUGCAAGCGGCAUCGCUUCGAAUGUCAAAGAUCGUUUUUUGGGAGGAGCCCAGUAGCCAAACGUCGAAUGUAGCACCAGAAGUUGGCAGUGGCUGAGUGACGAACGUUCGUAAGCAUGAGCUCAUCGAGGUAAUCCUCCGAGAAGCUUGAAGCCGGACAUUCGCGCACCUACGCGGAUACGCCGGGGGAUCUGAAGCGAUGUAGAAGGAGAUGUGACGGACUGGGGGACCCGGCGCCGCACUGUCGCUGUGUGUACGCGUAUAGGUUCAAUCCUAGCAGUGAAAUUGUGUUAUAGAAUUAAAGAGAGGGGGAGUGAGAGGAUGGAGACUUGGGCGAGUCUCACGAGGAGCGAACUGCUCUCACGCCAGAUCCCGGGAGCCCGUUGCAGUGCAACACACACAGCAGAACUGCACGAUGUCCUGGAUCCUCCGCCUCUUCCUCUCCUUCCUUCCAUUUCUGGUGGUGCAUUAAUUAAGCGCAGAUGCCGAUGCCUUGUCACCCGCCAUUUGCCAUUCGCGUUUGGCCAGAGAGAUAUGAGAGUGAGAGAGCAGCCAGUGGGGGAGUGAUAGGGAAGAGAAGAAAGGGAGAGUAUAGACUCGGAGUAACCAGGACCAGGGUGAACCGGUGCGUUGUGGUUUGGGCGGCACCUAAUUCAUCCUCGUUCGUCCGGAUCGUGUCCGUCCGCCUGUCUUGCUGUUGCCUUCUCACACUCUGCACAAUAUACCCACGCCGCAGCCUAACCUGCCCUGCUUGUAUUCCUAUAUCUGCAUACACGUACAUCCAUGCGGAUAUAGGUAUCGGUCUGUAAAUGGCAAGAGCCCAACUGGUAUACAUUUGCACGUAACUCGUUUGGAUGGGGGAGCUGAUUCUGUACGAACUCUUCUGAUUCAACCGCGGACGCAUCCCCAUAGUGGAAUGAGGUCUGAUCGAGCCACGAUCGAUUUUAUUAGCGUUCAAUGUGCGAGUGUGUGUGAGAGUGGCUUGGGCAGUUGUAGAAUGCAAUUGCAAAGUCAUUCUGAUGAACGGCCACGAUUGCUGCCAAUGAUACCCACAUAUUGACAAAUUUUGUUGGUCUAUUUGAGGAUAAGUGGUCCAUAGUAGUUGGCGCAGGUAAACUCAAUCAUUCGUUGCACCUGCUGGGGUCGCUCGCGAGAAGAGGCGAUCUGCGGCCCUGCCCCUGGAAUAUAAAGUUUUUUCCUUCACUUUUUUAUUUUUGCAUCGAACACUCGAUGACACGUCUCCCUGGAUAUAGUGUUGGUUCUCUUACGACCACGCUAUACGCACACCCGAUCUCACGAAAGCUGUAGCAGACACGUAUAAUCACCCCCCAAACGGUAUAAUGGAUGUGGCAUUCCUGAAACCGGCGGAGGACAUCACGAGAUAAAAAAAGGAAAAAGAAGCCCGGCCGGGCAACCGAGAGAUGAUCCGACGCACCUGUUCCCAGCGACGACCACGGAGACGACGAAGACGACGACGAAAUUGCUACGAUUGCUACCUGGGGCGAUCCUGAGACUUCCUCCACGUUCCGUCGCCGAGUGUUCGUCCUUGGAGGUGCAUCAAAGGUUGCAUUGGGAACGAAUCGACAAUGUCCCGUUUCAUUAUCUCUUCCUUCCUCUCUUCCUUCUGGCUUUAUUUAUCGCUCGAAACAAAGGUGCUAGCGCGGCAGUGUCGAGAAAAAAACAACAGCCCAAGGAUAGAGAACACGUUUAGGGAGCAGGUAGAGAAAUUCGCGGAGUCUUUUCUUCACCUGAUCCUCGGCUGGGCGCCGGUGCCAAGGGAUCUCUGAGGUUUCGUUCCAAGGGCCUCAAACAAACGAUCUUAUGUAUAAUAUAUAAAGUUAUAUGCUACAAGAU